GUCGAGAAUCUUUCACAAUGGGGGCAACCCUGAUGGAGCGACGCCGCGUGGAGGAUAAGGUCUUCGGAUUGUAAACUCCUGUCAUGCGUGAACAAGGUUGCUUGGUUAAUACCUGGGCACUUUGAUGGUAACGCAAGAGGAAGAGACGGCUAACUCUGUGCCAGCAGCCGCGGUAAUACAGAGGUCUCAAGCGUUGUUCUGAAUCACUGGGCGUAAAGGGUGCGUAGGUGGCGUGGUAAGUCAGAUGUGAAAGCCCGGGGCUCAACCUCGGAACUGAAUCCGAUACAGCCAUGCUAUGGUACUGGAGAGGUGACUAGAAUUCUCGGUGUAGCAGUGAAAUGCGUAGAUAUCGAGAGGAAUACCAAAGGCGUAGGCAGGUCACUGGACAGUUACUGACACUGAGGCACGAAGGCCAGGGGAGCGAACGUGAUUAGUAACCCCGGUAGUCC
rnacentral:rRNA from 1 species